UCUUGACAGCUACCGUAGAGAGAACAAGUAGGUUUUCUUUGCUAGCUUGUUUUGUAACAAAUUAAAUUUAACAAACAGAACUUUUGUUUACCGUAGUUUUAUAUUUUUAUUAAUUUGACUUCUCAUUGAGCGUAGCCCUAAGUACAUACGAUAUUAUUUUUGAUCCAGCAUGCAAAUAAGAAGUGAAGACGAGCGAGCAGCCAACGGAAGAAGCCCGUCCUCUUGGACCCGAAGAAGCUGAUGAAGAAGUUGAUCACCGUGGUGACGAAGAUGAUGCCAGUGGUUACGUUGUUCAGGAUCCCGGCGACUAUCUGGAGACCCAGUGAGAAGGAGAUGAGAGUCAGGACGGCUGCGUAGUAUCUGAGAAGGUAAGCC